GGUUCACAAUCUCUUAUCCGAAAACCUUGGGACCAGACACUUUUCGGAUUUCGGAAUUUUUCGGAUUUCGGAAUGGAAGAUUUUUAGCGUAGAUUUUAACUUUUAACGGGUGGCUCAGUGCUCGGCUCGUGGCUGCAAGGUCGUGAGUUUGCGCCUCGAUCCCGGCAACUACUCGGUGAG